AGAGUUUGAUCCUGGCUCAGGACGAACGCUGGCGGCGUGCUUAACACAUGCAAGUCGAGCGGAAAGGCCACUUCGGUGGUACUCGAGCGGCGAACGGGUGAGUAACACGUGAGUAAUCUGCCCCUGGCUUUGGGAUAGCCACCGGAAACGGUGAUUAAUACCGGAUAUGACCACGUACUGCAUGGUGUGUGGUGGAAAGUUUUUCGGCCAGGGAUGUGCUCGCGGCCUAUCAGCUUGAUGGUGAGGUAAUGGCUCACCAUGGCUUCGACGGGUAGCCGGCCUGAGAGGGUGACCGGUCACACUGGGACUGAGACACGGCCCAGACUCCUACGGGAGGCAGCAGUGGGGAAUAUUGGACAAUGGGCGGAAGCCUGAUCCAGCAACGCCGCGUGAGGGAUGACGGCCUUCGGGUUGUAAACCUCUUUCAGUACCGACGAAGCGCAAGUGACGGUAGGUACAGAAGAAGCACCGGCCAACUACGUGCCAGCAGCCGCGGUAAUACGUAGGGUGCGAGCGUUGUCCGGAAUUAUUGGGCGUAAAGGGCUCGUAGGCGGUUUGUCGCGUCGGGAGUGAAAACGCCGUGCUUAACACGGCGCUUGCUUUCGAUACGGGCAGACUAGAGGUAUGCAGGGGAGAACGGAAUUCCUGGUGUAGCGGUGAAAUGCGCAGAUAUCAGGAGGAACACCGGUGGCGAAGGCGGUUCUCUGGGCAUUACCUGACGCUGAGGAGCGAAAGUGUGGGGAGCGAACAGGAUUAGAUACCCUGGUAGUCCACACCGU
rnacentral:rRNA from 1 species